ensembl:snoRNA U3 Small nucleolar RNA U3
AAGACUGUACUUUUAGGGAUUGUUUCUAUAGUUUUUGAUUUAAGGAUUGUGUUUCUAGCGCGUAUUGACUUGACAUAAUUAGCUGCGAUGUUUCCUUUUUUGAGCUUUGAUGAAGAGAAUAUGAUCUGA